GAUUCAGCACCAGAGAAGGGCUUCGGUCGGGCAGGUUGCGGAGUUCACCAUAGCAACGCGGGGGAAGCAGCCGCCUUGAGCGGUCUAAGGGUCUUUGCGAGGUUGCAUGGUAGUGAUUUCUGAGAGAAGUAGUUAUGAAAGAAUAAAAACUCCAAAAUACAGAUUCUGAAGAUUAUUUUUUUUUAAAAGGGGGGUUGCGUGAUUCUUACAAUCUUUUCGACAGACACGAUUCUCAGUACCACCAACCAACCUCGAGAGAUGCAGCUGCUAAUGAUAACAGCAAGAAUAUGCACACUGUGCAGGUUUUGCUCAAAAACCUGCUUGAGGUGGCAGUAGGAAGCACAUCACACGUAGCAGUGGCAUCAUUGCGCCUGCAAAACAACUGACUCCAGUGUGGUGGAAAAGACUUCUUUGAGGAGUCUCCACGUGCCACCCAUUUCCCACAUCCGUGUUCGUUUCGUGGUCAGUUGUGGGAAAGGGGGGGUGCAUUGGAGAGGAUUGAAAGGUGUUGUUCAUUUCCUGCAGUGAUCACUCUGUUGAAACGGGGAGUAAGUGGGCAGUGCUGUAGGUGAAAAAUGGGGUGUCAGUUGUUGCUAACGCCAUUUGCUUUAUUUUAGUGGGCCGGGUGUCAUGUUUGUUUAUCUUGGUAAUGUGUUGGUUGUCCUCCCUGCAUUUAGCUUUGUUUGUUUUAUGACAGGGUUCUUAUUUAUUUGACUUUUUAAUUAGUCCUUAAUUUUUGUAUAUUGCCAUUUUCCCUGCUGUGGGGUCGAAAUAUUAAAUGAAGAACAGGUUAUGAAUAAAAUGAUGAUGAUGAUGAUAGCCUGUCACCUGCUGGCAUGGUUUUCUUUACCAACUUGACUAUGUGUCUUUUCUUAUUACUUAGUUCUGUAUUAGUGAAAACAUAAAAGAGUUAAUGACAUCUUGUACUUCCCGCAAGGAAUGUUCACAUUUGUCAUUCUGGCACCAGAGACCAUCGCCAUACACUGACCUUCAUUUCUGCUGACUGGGUCUGGUAUCUUGGCAUUCCUCAAGGAUGUCUGCUCAAAUGAAAAACUGCACAACUACAGAAUCUCUUUAUAGGAACACUUAAGUACAACUCAUCAUAAUUGUUGGUUGGGGUUAGAGCUGGCUAGGAGGUUGUACUGAGAUGGCUAACAAGACAAAUUCAUCCAGUUUUACUUACGAUUUUGAAUAUUACAUGGAUUAUUUAGAUCUACUUCCAGUUGAUGCAAGAAAGCUGAAGGCAAACAGAUUAUUUGGAGUUUCAGGAGGGUGUCCUCAAUUAAACCACUACAGCCCCAAUUCCUUGGGAAAGAAGCCUUCCUUGAGUGGACGUAAUAUUGCUUAGUCUCUGCUCCUUAAUUAUCCACCCCUACAAAGGCUCAGGAAAGGGAAAAGUGUUUGGGCCUCAAAAACCACAACGCGGUAUUCCAAUACAGAACUCAACGUGCUGAAAAACCGAAUCAAUAUGGCAGAAUCCAAGUUGGUCCUAUUUGGCAGGAGAUGGAGAAAACAAAGGUUACAAUGCUCAACCCAAAUGGAAUGUCUCAAACAGAUCGGAUAAAGAUGAAGAAAGAAGGAAAAAACCACAUGAUGCUGCAGACAGAGACACAAAAACCUAAAUUCCAGAUAUGCCAGUAUUUUAUGAUGCUGCUAAAUAUAACACACAUUUCUUACUUUAAACGGAUUAAACAAUUUUCAUCAUUUUUCUGCAUUCAGAAUGUGACUUCUUAUACA